CACGUAGGGUGCGAGCGUUGUCCGGAAUCAUUGGGCGUAAAGAGCUCGUAGGCGGUCUGUCGCGUCUGCUGUGAAAACCUGGGGCUUAACCCUGGGCUUGCAGUGGGUACGGGCAGACUAGAGUGCGGUAGGGGAGACUGGAAUUCCUGGUGUAGCGGUGAAAUGCGCAGAUAUCAGGAGGAACACCGGUGGCGAAGGCGGUUCUCUGGGCAUUACCUGACGCUGAGGAGCGAAAGCAUGGGGAGCGAACAGG
rnacentral:rRNA from 1 species